rnacentral:hammerhead_ribozyme from 1 species
AUUCAAAUGACGAGUCCCAAAUAAGAACGAAAAGCGCGUCCUGGAU